ensembl:snoRNA
UGAUGACUGUGCCUCCUCUUGCCUUCAGACCUGACACUAGGGUUUUAGGUCAUCAUAAAUAAAAAAUUGAUUUUCUUCACUCAGAGAAUAAUAGAAUAAUGGGUUUUAUCUGACUAUUCUCUGAAAUUUGCGGAAUCAAACAGCU